rnacentral:rRNA from 1 species
UUGGCGGACGGGUGAGUAACGCGUGGGUAAUCUACCCUUGGAUUUGGGAUAACUCUGCGAAAGUGGAGCUAAUACCGGAUAGUCUGGCUUUAAAUAAGAAGUCGGUAAAGGAUGCCUCUGCAUAUGCAUUCGUCCGAGGAUGAGCCCGCGUCUCAUUAGCUAGUUGGUAGGGUAAUGGCCUACCAAGGCAACGAUGAGUAGCUGGUCUGAGAGGAUGAUCAGCCACACUGGAACUGAAACACGGUCCAGACUCCUACGGGAGGCAGCAGUGGGGAAUAUUGCGCAAUGGGCGAAAGCCUGACGCAGCAACGCCGUGUGAGGGAUGAAGGCUUUCGGGUCGUAAACCUCUGUCGGAAGGGAAGAACGGGUGGUGGUCUAAUAGGCCUCCAUUUUGACGGUACCUUUAGAGGAAGCACCGGCUAACUCCGUGCCAGCAGCCGCGGUAAU